UAGAAACGCGGGCGGCAAGCUUAACACAUGCAAGUCGAACGGAUUAUUCUUUAUAGCUGGCUAUGGAGGAUAGUUAGUGGCAGACGGGUGAGUAAUGCAUAGGAAUCUACCUAGUAGUAUGGGAUAGCCACGAGAAAUGGUGGGUAAUACCGUAUAAUCCCUGUGGGGGAAAGAUUUAUCGCUAUUAGAUGAGCCUGUGUUAGAUUAGCUAGUUGGUAGGGUAAAGGCCUACCAAGGCGAUGAUCUAUAGCUGGUCUGAGAGGAUGAUCAGCCACACUGGGACUGAGACACGGUCCAGACUCCUACGGGAGGCAGCAGUGGGGAAUAUUGGACAAUGGGCGCAAGCUUGAUCCAGCUAUGCCGCGUGAGUGAAGAAGGCCUUAGGGUUGUAAAGCUCUUUCCCUAGGGAAGAUAUUGACGGUACCUAC
rnacentral:rRNA from 1 species